rnacentral:rRNA from 1 species
UACAGAGGGGGCAAGCGUUGUCCGGAGUUACUGGGCGUAAAGGGUCCGCAGGCGGCACGACAAGUGCUGUGUGAAAGCCCCGUGCUUAACACGGGGAGGCCACGGCAGACUGUCGCGCUCGAGCCAUGCAGAGGGUGGUGGAAUUGCCGGUGUAGUGGUGAAAUGCGUAGAGAUCGGCAGGAACACCCAGGGCGAAAGCAGCCACCUGGGCAUGCGCUGACGCUGAGGGACGAAAGCGUGGGGAGCGAACCGG